ACUGAUUUGUGCAUAAAAUCCUCGUCCAGGAAUCAGCCGAGGUACACAAACUGACAAUUUAAUAUACAAAUCCAUCAUAAUAACUAAACCGAUAAAUACUUACUUAAGAGGCACUUAGUCCUCACCAAGAAGAAAACUGCAGCGGAAAAAUAAAAUCUAGCGAAGCUCCGGCUCCACUCCCACAGGCAGCUCAACUGGGGUAUAAGCCAAACGUCUUCUCCUUCUGGAUCCUUUUUCUUCAACUGAGGUUGAUUGAUUAUUGCAAGAAUGAGCAUAUGACAUACUCAACAAGCCACACAGCAAGUAUGCAAGUGCACAAGGAUACCAAAGGAUGGCAUAAUAUAGGCUCAUUUGCGAAAGCAGCAUUUAGCAAAGAGUUAAGAGUAGUAAAACAGUAGAGUAAUUAAUCAGAAAUUUUAAUCAACACUGAACAACACACCCAUGCUGCACAGGCCCAACCAUCCUGAACAACCAUACCCGGCUGAACAGAUCUAACUCCAAACCAGGAGCUAAGCAAAUUAUUACCAGGUAUAACAUCCAUAAUUAUUGUGAGAGAUGUGAGACUAAUCACGAAAAACAUUGCUCAACUCGCCCAUAACCGCGGGCACGGCUAUUCGAAUAGUUUUACUCUGGCCAGAGGUGUACCACUGUACCCACAAGACACGAUUCCACACAUGUUGCCAUGCCCCGAAAUACCACCACGGCAUUGCAAAGGGGAAAUCGUGACAAUACCCUUUGCACAACACAACUCAAAACAGUGCACCGUUCCUGGAUCAUAAUCACCCCCUUAUAAACAAGGCAUGGACUCCCCAGCGACCCCCAUGGACUUCUCGCCACUUCUCAGUCUGGCGCACUAUAAUGAAUCACGCUAUACAAAAGAUAAAGCCGUUGCCCAUGCUGGCUUGUGGUUGGCACGAUAAAUGUUUCACAACAGUAGCUCGCGAACCGGUCCUUAAUUGCCAUGAGCACGACCUUCAAAACCAUGUGCUCACAACCCACCAUUAAUCAUAUUUUAAAUACCAAUUAAUUAUCAUAACACGAUUAACCAUCGUGAGCUACCAUUAAAUAUAACCAUAAAUAAUAAUGUAGUAUAUAUGAUUCAUCCCAUUAGUGAGCUAAUGUUUCUAAGCAUUGCUAAGCAAUUAUAUAUAUAUAACAUUUAGCUGAACCAAACCAAUACAUAAGGUUCAAGCUAAUCAAUUUAUUACCCAAGGUAUCAAGGAAUAGGAUAUUCAAUGCAAAUUGGCCAUAACAAAGGAAUUGGUUCACACCACCCGGUGACAUUCGAAAAUAAAUGCACAGUUGAAACAAAUAGAGAAUUUAAAUAUAGGAUCAACAUGCUCAAAGGAUUGUGUUUAGGAUCUGUGUGACUUGCCUUGCAAUAAUCGGUCUUCAAUUAAUCUUCUUGAUCACUUCCGACGCACUCACGAACCUUCGCAACGACGGAAACGACAAGCUAACACGCAAAACGAAGAAAAAGACUAAUAAAAACCAAAUAAACAGUACAUAAAAAGUAAACAAACAUGUAAAUCAUAAUUUUAGAUGAAUUAUGAGACUUGAACGGCCUCAUUCUGACUUCAAAUGAAUUUAUUAUGAAUUUUACAAGAUUAAAUCUAAUUAAAGCCCAUUUAAAAAGAAUUAAAUAAAUUUAAUUCAAUUUAUGGACAAUUUUAAUAUGUAGAUCUUUAUUUUAGAAAAAAUUUAGCAACUUGAACCACUCGAAACGGAUCUACGGUUAUUUAGAUAUGAUUUUCAGAAGAUUUAAUCUACGGGAAAAAGAAAAACCGAUGACGUCAGCAUGACGUCAUCCAUGGCCGGCCCGGGUUGGCGACCUCGCCGGAGAUUGGAUGGUCGGCUGCGACUUUGGAGGACAUGUACACGUAGAGGACGACGAGACGAACCCAACGGUACUCACCACGACGACAAACGACGAACAAUGACGGCCGGCGACGAGGAGGACGGCGGCGGCGGCUCGGUCGGCGGUGGCGGCGGAGCUCCGGUGACCGGCGACGACGGGGAGAGGGCGGCCGAGGUUCCUCACCUCCGUGCGCACCUAACGGCAGCGAGGGGAAGCGACGGCGACGGCGGAAUCGACGGCGCGACCUCGCCGAAGGUUGGCCGGCGGCGGCGGCGGGUUGGGUGGUGUGGCGGCGGCGCUACAAGGCACGAGAGACCACGGGAGAGGGGGCAAGCGAAAGAGGAGGACUAGGGGGUGCUUUAUAUAGGCUUGGAUUGAAGAGAUCGGACUCCAAACGAGAGGAAUCGAAGCCGGAAAACAAAAUCUCGGUUUUGGAGAUAAACUCGAAAACGAGUUUGAUUUGGAUAAAAUACCCAACGAUUUGCUCCGAUUCUUGGGGGAAAAGAUAGAGGAGGAUGAGAGGAUCAAAACCCCUCAAAAAUCCGGAAGAAACGGGGUCAGAUUGGGUGGGAUUUGGAGGCGGAAAGGCGAUGCGGCGCGCAGCUCGGGCUCUGUCCAGACUGCAGGCUGAAGGUUAGGGACGACACUGUAGCAGGGAGGAAAAAUAGACUUUUCCGGCUUCCUUUUUCCUUGCUUGGGCUGACUGAGAGAGAGGGAGAUCAAACAGACUUUGGAGAGAGAGAGGAGGGCGGCUCGGCUGGGCCGAUUGGGCCGGCUUGGCCGCGCGCGGGAAGAGAAGAGUUGGGCCGAAAUCGGCCCAACGACUUAGGGGAAGAUUUAAAAACUUUUUCCAAUUAAAAUAAUCACUUAAAUGAUCUUUCAAUUGUUAAAAAUACUUCCAAUGCUCAAAUAAUUCCAAGAAAAAUCCUGAAAAUACUUGGACACUAAAAGUACUUAACAAAAUUAUAAUUAGACCAUUUAAUGAUUAAUUUAAUAUUUAAAUAAUUGCUGAACUUCUCUUUGUAUGAUUAAAAAAAUUAAUAAUUGAGCUCCGAAAAAUCCGAGAAAAUUCCAGAGAGUAUAAUUAACCAUGGAGAAUUUAAUAAAAAUUAAAUCCAUCCAUGCUUUAUAUUUGGGAAAUUUUAUUUCCCACAUUUAACUUCACUUGUAAAUUAAUGAACAUUUAAUAUAAAUUCUAUUAAUAAUUUAUUAAAUAAUUUAUAAAUCCUGAAACAAAAAUCAGGAUGUGACAACCAUCGAACGAAGAUGGGUGAAUUAUUUGAGCAAUUUACAAGAUGACUGACUAAACUGCACCCACCUCAUAAGUUGUGAUACCAACGCUGCAUUUUACUCAGGGGAUUAUCAAACCCGAUUACAGUAUUUUAGGGUGCCUCUAAUACCCAUCUAUACAUAUAGAUACGCUGCUAGUAUAAGAUAAGAGGAUAGAAGAAAAGAUUUUUUUACACGCUUAGUUUCCUAAUGUGUUCGAUGUGGGUAACACCGUAACAACCUUAAUACUAUAGGAUCGCACAAGACCAAACAAACCUACCAGAGGGGGGAGUGAAUGGUAAGAAAAACCAAAAACCCAAAAUCUUUUGUGGAAUUAAAGAUUACCCUUGAACGAAGUCGAUGACGAAGUCCAGUCGCCGCCGGUCGAACCGCCUUCCUGCCACCGGUCAGACCGCCGAAGCCUCGCCGGUCAGACCGCCCGGAUACUUGCGGUCAGACCGCCGCUAUCCCACCAGUCAGACCGCGCACACACCUACGGUUAGACCGUUGGGACCCAGAAACAAUGGUAGAUGAUAAACUCGAAGAUGUAGAUUGAAACUUUUUGACUUUAUUGCAUCAACUAGUAUUUACAAAGUGCACCAAUAGCACUCCUCACCAAAAUCUCAAACUAAACUCGAAACCCUAACUCUCUAUCAACUCUAGUCUCUCUAAAACCGAUACCAGGAGGCCUCACCCUCUCUCUCUAUUUAUACAUGAGGUAGACUGUGCAAAGCCCACGAAUCUAUUACAACUUAGAACUCCUAACCCACGUAGCAAACCCUCUCUUGCAAGUAUACAACUCAUCUCUUUCCUUAUCUCAAUCAAACUUCCCGAAUUCGGACUCCUUUCCAAAUUCGACUCCUCUUUCCAUACGUACACAACCCCUCUUGUAUACCAUAUGGAUUUCUUCAUCACCACGUGCAUUGUCCUCUAACCUUUAGUAUCCCGCAUGAUCUCUUGAUCCCUGGACAUCAACUUCUCCCAAGUUGACUCCGAUCUAUUACCGGCAACACUCUGCCGAGGCCUCAAGCAACACCUACACAUGCAACAACCAAGAAACCAUAUUCCGAGCCCAAGUUCGUUCCAACUUGACUCACAUUAGUAUAACAACAGUAUCCAUACGCAUAGAAACCAUCUAGAAGCCAAAUCCCCGAAGGAAAUAUCCAAAUCCAACAAAACAAUCCGAAACCGACAUCGAUCAGGAUCCUGCGGGUCAGAUCGUUGGGCCGACCGGUCUGAUCGCCGCAACACCUGCAGUCUGACUGGCGGCACACGACCGGUCUGACCGCCAGGGUCAACCGAAACUGUACACUUCACAAAAUCAACCAUCUAUAAAAUCUCCAAAUUAACAUUAGCAAACCACCAAUAUUUUCAUCAUAAAAUCUAAAUCAACUCCUUGAUUUUACAAAUACUUGUAUAAAUUAAUCUAGGACAUAUCAUAUCAAGUAUAAGGGGUAGCAGGCUUAGCUAAUUUGGCCACCAAACUAACCUUGAUGGGCAAAGCAAUGGGUUUGCAGUCAAUGGCUAACGAAAAAGCUUCUUCCUGGUGUGAACUCAAUGUGGUGUGAUUUCGAAUUUAGGUCCUAAAUUUAUAUCAGAACAUGACCUCUCGUCAAGGUAAAACUCAAGAUCCAAAUAGGAGACCUUAUAAUCACCGUGCUGGACUACCUAGUCAUUCCUUAAGUGGAUGGGAUUUCCUGGUCCUCUCUUAGGGCAUUCACAGUGGGUUGAGUUGGCAUUCAGCCUUAUCGAUCCUCAACAAAUAUUGUGUGCCACGUUUGUGUCACGCCCGAAAAUUCACUAGUAAUUUCCGAACUUAUUUGUGCAUAAAAUCCUCGUCCAGGAAUCAGCCGAGGUACACAAACUGACAAUUUAAUAUACAGAUUCAUCAAAUUAACUAAAACGAUAAAUACUUACUUAUGAGGCACUUAGUCCUCAUCAUGAAGAAAACUGCAGCGGAAAAUAAAAUCUAGCGAAGCUCCGGCUCCACUCCCACAGGCAGCUCAACUGGGGUAUAAGCCAAACGUCUUCUCCUUCUGGAUUCUUUUUCUUCAACUGAGGUUGAUUGAUUAUUGCAAGGUGAGCAUAUGACAUACUCAGCAAG
rnacentral:lncRNA from 1 species